rnacentral:lncRNA from 1 species
CAACUGUUUUUCAGAAGGUAGCUAACCAGAUGCAUCUGAGCUCCAGUCUUUCCCAGGAUGUCCAUGCUCGCUAUGGGGGCAUUCAAAGGCCUGCUCUCUAUCAGAGGCGUUUUGCAUAUGGCAAUUACUCUAAUGCAGGACUGCAAACCUGCCAAGCCACACAGGAUCUCUCGUUGAUUGCUGCAAACGCUUCACCAGUGUUUGUGCAAGCUCCCCAAGAAAAAGGACUUGCAGCUUUUGCCACUGACUUCCUUAUGGGUGGUGUUUCUGCUGCUGUGUCAAAGACUGCUGCUGCCCCUAUUGAGCGUGUGAAACUUUUGAUCCAAAACCAAGAUGAGAUGAUUAAGGCUGGUAGACUGUCAGAACCAUACAAGGGAAUUGGAGAAUGUUUCGGGAGGACAAUUAAAGAGGAAGGAUUUGGUUCUUUGUGGAGAGGAAACACUGCCAAUGUCAUCCG